rnacentral:rRNA from 1 species
UGGGUCAGCGACUUAUAUUCUGUAGCAAGGUUAACCGUAUAGGGGAGCCGGAGGGAAACCGAGUCUUAAUUGGGCGUUAAGUUGCAGGGUAUAGACCCGAAACCCGGUGAUCUAGCCAUGGGCAGGUUGAAGGUUGGGUAACACUAACUGGAGGACCGAACCGACUAAUGUUGAAAAAUUAGCGGAUGACCUGUGGCUGGGGGUGAAAGGCCAAUCAAACCGGGAGAUAGCUGGUUCUCCCCGAAAGCUAUUUAGGUAGCGCCUCGUGAAUUCAUCUCCGGGGGUAGAGCACUGUUUCGGCUAGGGGGCCAUCCCGGCUUACCAACCCGAUGCAAACUGCGAAUACCGGAGAAUGUUAUCACGGGAGACACACGGCGGGUGCUAACGUCCGUCGUGAAGAGGGAAACAACCCAGACCGCCAGCUAAGGUCCCAAAGUCAUGGUUAAGUGGGAAACGAUGUGGGAAGGCCCAGACAGCCAGGAUGUUGGCUUAGAAGCAGCCAUCAUUUAAAGAAAGCGUAAUAGCUCACUGGUCGAGUCGGCCUGCGCGGAAGAUGUAACGGGGCUAAACCAUGCACCGAAGCUGCGGCAGCGAACGUAUCACCCAAGACAACUUUACGGAGUUGACGAUUGACGGAGCGAAGCGACGUCAAAGCGUUCAUUAAAGUCGAGUUGGCUUAGGGAUACGUUCGUUGGGUAGGGGAGCGUUCUGUAAGCCUGUGAAGGUGUGUCGUGAGGCAUGCUGGAGGUAUCAGAAGUGCGAAUGCUGACAUAAGUAACGAUAAAGCGGGUGAAAAGCCCGCUCGCCGGAAGACCAAGGGUUCCUGUCCAACGUUAAUCGGGGCAGGGUGAGUCGACCCCUAAGGCGAGGCCGAAAGGCGUAGUCGAUGGGAAACGGGUUAAUAUUCCCGUACUUGGUGUUACUGCGAAGGGGGGACGGAGAAGGCUAUGUUGGCCGGGCGACGGUUGUCCCGGUUUAAGCGUGUAGGUGUGUGUUCCAGGUAAAUCCGGUUCACUUUAACACUGAGGCGUGACGACGAGGCACUACGGUGCUGAAGCAACAAAUGCCCUGCUUCCAGGAAAA